rnacentral:rRNA from 1 species
CUGAGCGGCGGACGGGUGAGUAACGCGUGGGUAACCUGCCUCAUACAGGGGGGUAACAGUUAGAAAUGACUGCUAAUACCGCAUAAGACCACGGUACCGCAUGGUACAGUGGUAAAAACUCCGGUGGUAUGAGAUGGACCCGCGUCUGAUUAGGUAGUUGGUGGGGUAACGGCCUACCAAGCCGACGAUCAGUAGCCGACCUGAGAGGGUGACCGGCCACAUUGGGACUGAGACACGGCCCAG